UGUUAUGAUGAUUUUUGCAGACUAGAGUCUCUGAAUUACAUUGAUGCUUUUUCACUGCACUGAACA